rnacentral:rRNA from 1 species
GACAGAGGGUGCAAACGUUGUUCGGAUUUACUGGGCGUAACGCGCGUGUAGGCGGCUUUGCAAGUCGGGUGAUGAACGCCUCAGCUCAACUGAGGAAGUGCGCCCGAAACUGCAGAGCUUGAGUGCCGGAGAGGGUGGCGGAAUUCCCCAAGUAGAGGUGAAAUGCGUAGAUAUCGGGAGGAACACCAGUGGCGAAGGCGACUACCUGGCCUGUUCUUGACGCUGAGGCGCGAAAGCUAGGGGAGCAAACGGGG